rnacentral:tRNA from 1 species
CAGGCUGUAGCGUAAUGGUAGCGCGCGGGGUUUGGGACCUUGAAGAGGGAGUUCGAUUCUCCCCAGCUUGAC